rnacentral:rRNA from 1 species
CAGCAGUAGGGAAUAUUGCUCAAUGGGGGAAACCCUGAAGCAGCAACGCCGCGUGGAGGAUGAAGGUUUUCGGAUUGUAAACUCCUUUUGUUAGAGAAGAUAAUGACGGUAUCUAACGAAUAAGCACCGGCUAACUCCGUGCCAGCAGCCGCGGUAAUACGGAGGGUGCAAGCGUUACUCGGAAUCACUGGGCGUAAAGAGCGCGUAGGCGGAAUAGCAAGUCAGAUGUGAAAUCCUAUGGCUUAACCAUAGAACUGCAUUUGAAACUGUUAUUCUAGAGUAUGGGAGAGGUAGGUGGAAUUCUUGGUGUAGGGGUAAAAUCCGUAGAGAUCAAGAGGAAUACUCAUUGCGAAGGCGACCUGCUAGAACAUAACUGACGCUGAUGCGCGAAAGCGUGGGGAGCAAACAGGAUUAGA